CUUUUCACACUACGCUCAGAAUUUUGGCCACCGACUGCCAUAGAGACAAUGACUAUACUCGAUUGCAGCACUCCUCUAGAUUUUAGGCUCGCCAAGGAAGCUAUUUGUACAUAUAAAAGAGUUAAUACUCCCUCCGUUCCCAAUAUUAGUGGCCACUUUCUUUUCGGCACGGAGAUUAAGAAAUUGAUUGUUAUGUUUUAAUUGUGUAUGGCCCACCAAGAUUAAUAAGUUAAUUAACAAUCUAUUUUAUGUGUGAAUACAAGAAAUGAGGGAAGAUUGCUGGCUGCUGUUUCACCUCCUUCUCCAGCAACGGCGCCGCCCGUCUGAAAAAGGAAUUUUGUCCAUUACCAAAAGACCAUCACCCAGAAUUAUUAAGACCACCCAGCACCAAUUCAUAUAGAAAUUCAAGUUCAAUCACACUUAUACAAUGAGAACACAACAUACAAAAACAAAAUCACAACAAUUGCUCUUCAAACACUCUUCUCUGCUAUCUCUCGACUAAAGCAAAAAUACCUUAAUUGGCUAUUCGAGAUUAUUUUUCUAGAGAGCAGAAGAAUCGAUGGCGCCGGCGGUCACCCCUCACGCGCCACCUCUCUGGUUUACCGGCGAUGGCGCCGAUCCACGCCGUCGAGAUCUGUGACGCCGCUCCACACACGCACACACUCAGAUAUGUGUGUGUAACGAGAGAGGGAGAGGGAGAGGGAGAGGGGGGAGGGGGAGGGGGGGAGAGGGAUGAGGCAUGGUGGCGGCGGCCUUGUCGCUGCCAUUCGCCGGAAAAUCAGGGGAAAGGGUCGCCGCCGCCGCCGAGGGUUGCAGGGGACGUCGAACUCCAAAGAAUUGAGAAGGGGACCAAGGGGGUUGCACUCACAGAGCUUUGGAUCGAAACUCACCUUCUUCUCCGGCAAUUUGGGUGCUGCCGCUGUCGAUUUUGGGGUGCCGUCGACGAGUGUCGUUGCCUACAGCAGUGGAGGUUAGAAGAGAGAAGAAGAGUGAAUUGAGCGAGAGAGAGAGAGAGAGGUGAACGAGAUAGAUAAAUGAGGAUUUAAUUAAAGAGCCCUACUUUU
rnacentral:lncRNA from 1 species